AACGGCCCACCAAACCUACGAUGGAUAGGGGUUCUGAGAGGAAGGUCCCCCACAUUGGAACUGAGACACGGUCCAAACUCCUACGGGAGGCAGCAGUGAGGAAUAUUGGUCAAUGGACGAGAGUCUGAACCAGCCAAGUAGCGUGAAGGAUGACUGCCCUAUGGGUUGUAAACUUCUUUUAUACGGGAAUAAAGUGAGCCACGUGUGGCUUUUUGUAUGUACCGUAUGAAUAAAGAUCGGCUAACUCCGUGCCAGCAGCCGCGGUAAUACGGAGGAUCCGAGCGUUAUCCGGAUUUAUUGGGUUUAAAGGGAAGCGUAGGCAGGUUGUUAAGUCAGUUGUGAAAGUUUGCGGCUCAACCGUAAAAUUGCAGUUGAUACUGGCGACCUUGAGUGCAACAGAA
rnacentral:rRNA from 1 species